rnacentral:rRNA from 1 species
CUCCCUACCUCCCCACUCCAUUCCCCAUUUCCCCAUCCGUGCGAGUGCGCCGGCGGCCAGGAGCAUUGCGGCCAAAUCUGCCGUCCCGCUAGCCGCCGGCCAUGGAGGCCGCCGCAGCGCCCGUGGCCAACCAGGGGGAAUCCCAUGGGACCGCAGCGAAGACGGCGCGGUGCGGCGACUCCGACGAGAGCGCCGCGGAUUACAUCAGCAGGGUCCCCGAUGCCGUCCUCUGCACCAUCAUCUCCCUCCUCCCCACCAAGGACGGCGGCCGGACGCAGAUCUUCUCCCGCCGAUGGCGCCCCCUAUGGGCCUCCGCGCCUCUCAACCUCGAGGUCCGCACCCGUCACCCCGGCCCCGGCGUCCCCAUCCGCACCUCCUCCGUCUUCCCCGAUGCCGCCUCCAAGGUAAUCUCCAAGCAUCCUGGCCCCGCCUGCCGAUUCUGCUUCCACGGCCUCUGCCCCGGCGACCUCCACGACCAGGCGGAGACCUGGUUCCUCUCCCGAGCCCUCGCCAAGCUUCAGGAGCUCGAUGUCGGCUACGCGUUCUGCGAUGAACGUAAUCCGGGGAGAAACCCGCUGCCGCCAUCGGCGCUCCGCUCUGCGCCUACCCUCCUAGUUGCCAAGAUCAGCUGUUGUGAUUUGCCCCGAGAGAUGGUGCCGUCCAUGGGCUUUGACCUCCUCCAGCGUCUCUCCUUGAUCUCCGUUUACAUCUCAGUGGACGUCUUCCGUGGACUGCUCCCUGCUUGCCGUGCCUUGGAGAGCUUACACAUGUCCAACGUUCUUGGUACGCGUUGCCUCCAUGUUCGCUCGCCGACUCUUAGGAGUAUAUGCUUCCGUAACACCUCUGGUAGAGCAGAGCUGGUCAUCGAGGAUGUGCCUCGCCUUGUGAGGUUACUAAUACCUUUUGGUUGCCGAGAAAACUGUGGUACUAUCCGGGUAAUUUCUGCGCCUAAAUUGGAGAUAUUGGGCCCUUUGUUACCUGUCGUCUCCAAGCUCCUCCUAGUCUCCCAGGGAGUAAGUUCAGCCGACUUGGCAAACUCGAUGCACACCGUGAAGAUUUUGGCUCUCAGGUGUUCUGGAUAUGAAUUGGACGGAGUUCUUAAUAUCCUUAGGAGGUUCCCCUGUCUCGAGAAGCUCUAUAUCAUUUUUCACAAACACUACGAGAUGGAUGCCAAAAUCGAGCCUCAGUAUGACCGACGACUAUAUCCAAUUGAAUGCCUUCAAACCCAUCUCAAAACAGUGGUGUUUGAAACAUUCGUGGGCCAUGAUAAACAGCUUGAGUUUGCCAAGUUCUUUGUUUUGAAUGCAAAGGCGCUAAAAGAAAUUGAAUUUGAAGGAAUAUAUGGUGCCAAAAACGAUGUAUCGCUGGCUUACCAACACACGCUGCUACGAGUGGAAAACAGAGCUUCUCGAGAUGCCCAAUUUGAAUUCAGGAGCAGAUAUCGCAAUACUGCGAUUCAUCUCCUCAGGCAUAUCCAUGAUUUGUCAGUGGCCGACCCCUUCGAACAGUUAUAGACACGGUUGAUGCCUGAAGAUUGCGCUGUUCUUAGUGUCUUGUGCUUGUUUUGCAGGCAAUGUUGAUGUCAAAUGAUUGCACUGUCUUCCGCAUAGACCUGCUCUUUUUUCUAGUCUAAGGUUCCUCUGUAAUUCCAGUACCUUAUGAAGUUGCUCCUGUUAAAACUGCAAGAGAUGCUUUUAGAUGCAAAAAGAAUGCACUGUGGAAAAUUUCUUAUGUGGAGGGAUGCAAAUAAUAUGACUUUGAAUUUGUACCUGGAGACAGCUGGUAAGCACAAUUGUUUAUGGCUUUGUUCUGCCAAAGCUGUGCUAGGAACACAUCCCUGUGUCGGAAACUUCAAUGUCUUAUCAGUUAUCAUAUAGAAAAGCGC